AUUGAACGCUGGCGGCAGGCUUAACACAUGCAAGUCGAGCGCGCGGCGGACGGGUGAGUAAUGUCUGGGAAACUGCCUGAUGGAGGGGGAUAACUACUGGAAACGGUGGCGAAUACCGCAUACCACCAGAUAUGCCCAGAGGGGAUUAGCUAGUAGGGGGGGUAACGGCUCACCUAGGCGACGAUCCCUAGCUGGUCUGAGAGGAUGACCAGCCACACUGGAACUGAGACACGGUCCAGACUCCUACGGGAGGCAGCAGUGGGGAAUAUUGCACAAUGGGCGCAAGCCUGAUGCAGCCAUGCCGCGUGUGUGAAGAAGGCCUUCGGGUUGUAAAGCACUUUCAGCGGGGAGGCGUUACCCGCAGAAGAAGCACCGGCUAACUCCGUGCCAGCAGCCGCGGUAAUUC
rnacentral:rRNA from 1 species